UAAAAUAGGAGGUAUAUAUCUUCUAAAGCUAAAUACCGGCUAGAGACCGAUAGCGCAUAAGUAGAGUGAUCGAAAGAUAAAAAGCACUUUAGAAAGAGGGUUAAAUAGUAUAUAAAAUUAUUAAAAGGGAAGCGCUCGCUGCGAGCCUCCACCGCGGCGGAUUACCUAGAGUUUCCUCUAGCGCACUUUUCGCCCUAUGACAGGCAAGCACCUUCUUUCGGCGGGGGCCCCGUAUGCUCGGAACUCAAAUCCAUCCGGAAAGUCAUGGAUCGGUCGAUGAUGCCCCGCGGCGGGCCGAGGUCCGCGCGUCUGCA
rnacentral:rRNA from 1 species